CCGGUUGAUCCUGCCGGAGGUCACUGCUAUUGGGAUUCGACUAAGCCAUGCGAGUCGAGAGGGUUCGGCCCUCGGCGAACUGCUCAGUAACACGUGGAUAAUUUGCCCUUAGGUGGAGGAUAACCUCGGGAAACUGAGAAUAAUACUCCAUAGAUCUAGGAUGCUGGAAUGCACUUAGAUUAAAAGCUCCGGCGCCUAAGGAUAAGUCUGCGGACUAUCAGGUUGUAGUCAGGGUAAAGACCUGACUAGCCUACAACGGAUACGGGUUGUGAGAGCAAUAACCCGGAGACGAUAUCUGAGACACGAUAUCGGGCCCUACGGGGCGCAGCAGGCGCGAAACCUUCGCACUGUGCGAAAGCGCGAUGAGGGGAUCCCAAGUGCUUGCUCGUAAGAGUAAGCUGUUUUUAUGUCUAAAAAGCAUAGAGAGUAAGGGCUGGGUAAGACGGGUGCCAGCCGCCGCGGUAAUACCUGCAGCUCAAGUGGUGAUCAUUAUUAUUGGGCCUAAAACGUCCGUAGCCGGUUUGGUAAAUGCCUGGGUAAAUCGUGUAGCUUAACUAUACGAAUUCCGGGUAGACUGCCAAACUUGAGACCGGGAGAGGCUAGAGGUACUCCUGGGGUAGAGGUGAAAUUCUGUAAUCCUA
rnacentral:rRNA from 1 species